rnacentral:rRNA from 1 species
CCGAUUAGGUAGUAGGCGGGGUAACGGCCCACAUAGCCUUCGAUCGGUAGGGGUUCUGAGAGGAAGGUCCCCCACACUGGAACUGAGACACGGUCCAGACUCCUACGGGAGGCAGCAGUGAGGAAUAUUGGUCAAUGGGCGAGAGCGUGAACCAGCCAAGUAGCGUGCAGGAUGACGGCCCUCCGGGUUGUAAACUGCUUUUAGUUGGGAAUAAAAAAAGGGACUUGUCCCUUCUUGUAUGUACCUUCAGAAAAAGGACCGGCUAAUUCCGUGCCAGCAGCCGCGGUAAUACGGAAGGUCCAGGCGUUAUCCGGAUUUAUUGGGUUUAAAGGGAGCGUAGGCGGAUUGUUAAGUCAUGCGGUUAAAGGGUGUGGCUCAACCAUGCAUUGCCGUUGAAACUGGCGAUCUUGAGUGCAGACAGGGAUGCCGGAAUACGUGGUGUAGCGGUGAAAUGCUUAGAUAUCACGAAGAAACUCCCGAUCGCCGAAGGCAGGUGUCCGGGCUGCAACUGACGUCUGAGGCUCGAAAGUGUGGGUAUCAAACAGGAUUAGAUACCCUGGUAGUCCACACAGUAAACGAUGUAUACUCGCGGUUUGCGAUAGACAGUAAGCCGCCAAGCGAAAGCAUUA